UUGCGCGCUGAAACGCCAUCACUGUGGGAAUGAGAGGAUACGGGAAACAAGUUAGUAUAAUACUGCAUCUAGUGAUACUCACUUUAGUUUUUUUGUUUUCGUCUACUUGACGUGGAUUCACUUGGUUACUAUCUCUGCCAACUGUCAUCUCUGAUCUAGUAGUAGGUUUCAUUAAGAAAACAGACCAAUGGUUGGCGAAUUGUGUUCCCAUGAAAAACUAUCCUUGAACUUGCAUUCAGGAAAUGGCAGUGUAGUUGUGUAAGUUGUAAUGAAAUUAGCUUCAUUAGCCUGAGUGCUUCCUGUUAAGCUUGCAUUCAGGAAAUGGCAGUGUCACAGGGCACCUCAAAGCAGUUCUUUUCUUGUUAAGGUAUGCCGGAUUUUGGAGAUGGCAGCAAUACACUUCUUUGCUUCCCAUGGGCCAUGGGUGAUCCUUUUA
rnacentral:lncRNA from 1 species